UUAAAAAUUAAAACUAAAUCGUAUUUCCUCUCAUUAGCUGUCAAAUAUUCCAAACUCGUGGCUGUGACGCUAUACACCACAGAGAAGUCUCUAGGUAACUGCACCCGAUGGCAUAUUCGUAAUAUUUUUGUAAACUAGUGGCUGAUAACAAUCACAAACUCUUAUAUAUACCCUCAUAUCUCUGCCGUCUAUCAACAUUACGUUCACGAUAACCCUAAAAAUCAAAGGAAAGAACACGCCUCUUCUUUGAUAUUCAUCGUCGAUCGUUUUAUUCUUUUCUUCAUCAAGAUCGGAGAUCUGAAUUUUCGUUCUAGAGGAGUCGUACAACAACAAAAUUUAUAUUG